GACGAACGCUGGCGGCGUGCUUAACACAUGCAAGUCGAACGGAGUGGCGAACGGGUGAGUACCACGUGGGUGAUCUGCCUUGCACUUCGGGAUAAGCUUGGGAAACUGGGUCUAAUACCGGAUAGUUCAAUAUGAGCUCGUGGCCUAUCCGCUUGUUGGUGGGUUAAUGGCCUACCAAGGCGUCGACGGGUAGCCGGCCUGAGAGUGUGUACGGCAAAAUUGGGACUGAGAUACGGCCCAGACUCGUACUGGAGGCAGCAGUGGGGAAUAUUGCACAAUGGGCGGAAGCCGGAUGCAGCGACGCCGCGGGGGGGAUGAAGGCCUUCGGGUUGUAAACUCCUUUCGACAGGGACGCGGUACCUGUAGAAGAAGCACCGGCUAACUACGUGCCAGCAGCCGCGGUAAUUC
rnacentral:rRNA from 1 species